CAGAUUUAAUAUAAGUGAUCCAGAAGUGUGUUCCAUUAAGAAAUAGCUCCUGUUAGGCACUUACAGACUAGUGUAAAGCAUGUACUUUGCUGCCAGGCUACAAAAGAUGGUGCAUUAGAGCCUAAGAAGGAGCAGCCUCCACCGUGUGUGUCUGAUGGCCCUAUGUGUCCAGAGGAUGGUGUGGCUCCACUCCAGACUAGUGUGAGUCCCCAGCAUGACGGUCCCCUUCCUCCUGCCCAUGCAGAGCCUCAGACCAGAGAAACACCGAAUCCAAAUCCUGAACCACUUUAUUUGCAGCGCAUUCAUGGUGGAGUGGCAUAACUCUGUCCAGCCCAGCCUGGGUGAGAAGCUGCAGUUGCACCAGGAGCACUUGCUACUGCAGAAGCAGGACCUGGAGUGCAGAGCUCUGGGGGCUGAGGAGAGCAUCCAGGACCUCAAGCGUAAGAGACACUUGGCUGUAGGAGACACCUGGACAUUCCUGUGAGCACUUGGCUGUGAUCAGGGUUGGAAGGGACCUCGGGACCAAUCCCAACUAAAUCAUCCCAGCCAGGGCUUCAUCAAGCCUGAUCUUAAAAAGCUCUAAGGAAGGAGUUUCACACCACCUUAGACUCCUCUCUAAAAUGCUCAAGAAGUCAGCAGUGAAGCCAGCAGCGCAGAGUCCACCGAAGCAGGGAAGUGCCCCCUAUGAUGAAUGUCUCUUGGCCAAGCAGAACAGCAUGGAUGGAGGAAGUGCUGGGUACAAUCCACCGUGGGGUCUCCCUGAGACCAGUGUGCAUGUCCAGAGAAGGGCUGGAGCUACCUUAGUUGUAGCACCCUAGGGUGCUACACUGCUGCAUUCUAGACAGAACAUACCAGGGAAAUGGCUGACUUGAUUGGCUAAAUGAGGACAAAGCAGUAAGAAUGGAGGGUGUUAAGGGAAGGAGAUGAAGUACAGUCUUCCUCCUUGGCUUGUCACUGGGUGAAGGGAGGGCAGGAUGUCCUGAGUGGAAGAGGCUGCAUCUUUGGAAUAUGAGCAGGAGCCUGUGACCAAGAAAGGGAGCAAAAGCUGCUUUGAAACAGGUGGCCCUCUGGAUUCCUCAGGCAACAUGACCACUUCAAGCCAGACUCUUCAACCCCUUGGGAGCUCAUCAUAGUCCCUAGCAGUGGGACUUCUAGUGGUGUCUGUGCUUCCCAGGCUUACAGAGAGGAGGAUAUCUGCCCACAGAGGGAACAGGAAGAUCCCAGCAGAAGCUCUGAAGAUGAUACAAGGAGCACUACUAGUCUCCUUCCAGCAAUCACCCUACCAGAGGAAGGGGACAACCUUGAGGAGAUCCCUUGUGGCUCUCUAACUAGCCUGGAGUUGGGUGCUACUGCUCAAAUCCCACAGGAUUCUGAAGCAACUGACUGGAGUAGGUCUCCAAAUAGCAAUAACCCGCUGGCUGUAGGGAAGGAGACCACUGAGGAUGAAGGGGAGGCAGAAACUGUAGCAGCAGGUGAGAUGUGAGGGGGAGCUGAGUGCAGGCCCAGCAAGUGAGGUGGCCCAGCCUCUUGGCCUUGGUGACCAGGAUUCUGGGGAGACAAAUCACUACUCAGUGUGGUGCUCUUAGGACUGACCUUGCCAGCUGCAAACAUCUGUCUUUAACACCCCUUG